rnacentral:rRNA from 1 species
AUUGAACGCUGGCGGCAGGCCUAACACAUGCAAGUCGAGCGGAUGAAGGGUGCUUGCUCCUGGAUUCAGCGGCGGACGGGUGAGUAAUGCCUAGGAAUCUGCCUGGUUGUGGGGUAUAACGUCCGGAAACGGGCGCUAAUACCGCAUACGUCCUGAGGGAGAAAGUGGGGGAUCUUCGGACCUCACGCUAUCAGAUGAGCCUAGGUCGGAUUAGCUAGUUGGUGGGGUAAAGGCCUACCAAGGCGACGAUCCGUAACUGGUCUGGGAGGAUGAUCAGGCACACUGGAACUGAGACACGGUCCAGACUCCUACGGGAGGCAGCAGUGGGGAAUAUUGGACAAUGGGCGAAAGCCUGAUCCAGCCAUGCCGCGUGUGUGAAGAAGGCCUUCGGAUUGUAAAGCCCUUUAAGUGGGGAGGAAGGGCAGUAAGUUAAUACCUUGCUGUUUUGACGUUACCAACAGAAUAAGCACCGGCUAACUUCGUG